GUUCGAAGUCCAACAGUAAGACUGUGCUCCAGCAGCCUGUGUCUGAGUCAGUCCAGCCAGGAGACUCUGUGACUCUGAACUGUACAAUACACACUGAGACCUGCGCAGGAGAAUACAGUGUCUAUUGGUUCAGACAUGGCUCAGGAGAAUCCCGUCAAGGAAUUAUUUACACCCAUGGAGACAGGAGUAGGGCUAGCUGUGUCUACAACCUCCCCAAGAGGAACCUCGGCCUCUCUGAUGCUGGGAUUUACUACUGUGCUGUGGCCUCAUGUUGGGAGAUACUGUUUGGAGAUGGCACCAAGCUGAACAUUCAUGGACCUGAGCCCUAG